rnacentral:lncRNA from 1 species
AUGGCGCCUGCAGCCCUUGAGAAGCUGAAAACGGGGAUGCGGAGACCUGGUGGAGACCUGGUUUCCUGUGAAGUCGAUUCCGAGCGUGGGAUGGUGGCACGCACUCCAGCUGGGGUGCAGUGGGCUGCAGCCCAUCCCAGAAGGCCUCAGCUCUCCCCACUGGGGUGUUUCAUGGUCUACCUGCGGCAGCUCCAUAUGCAAGGAUCUGCCUUGUGUUCAUCCUUCAAAACGUCCCCAGCAUCUGGUGCAAAGUGUCAUAGAGCCUUGGUUUGCAUAUCUCCGAUAUGGGUGAGUACAUGAAUGGAUGGAUUUUUUUUUCCUCAAAAUUGGCAUUGAGGUGUCUGCUCAUAUAUUUAUCCUGCCUUUUCAUUGAACGUAUUAUGACAUCUGAUGUUCCUCAAGAGACGAGAUCUUUUAGGCAGAAAGAGUUCAUUUCACGCAGUGAUCACGUGCAUGCGUUGUAUACACUUGGCGCCAACUUCUUGCCAUCCCAAAGAGCCAAUAACCGCUCUGUAGGUUUCUGAAUACUGUGAAUGUUCAUAGACUUUAGAUUCCCAGAAAUGGGCUUGCUAGGUCAAAGCACA